GUGGGGAAUCUUGCGCAAUGGGCGAAAGCCUGACGCAGCCAUGCCGCGUGAAUGAUGAAGGUCUUAGGAUUGUAAAAUUCUUUCACCGGGGACGAUAAUGACGGUACCCGGAGAAGAAGCCCCGGCUAACUUCGUGCCAGCAGCCGCGGUAAUACGAAGGGGGCUAGCGUUGCUCGGAAUUACUGGGCGUAAAGGGCGCGUAGGCGGACAGUUUAGUCAGAGGUGAAAGCCCAGGGAUCAACCUGGGAAUUGCCUUUGAUACUGGCUGUCUUGAGUACGGGAGAGGUGAGUGGAACUCCGAGUGUAGAGGUGAAAUUCGUAGAUAUUCGGAAGAACACCAGUGGCGAAGGCGACUCACUGGCCCGUUACUGACGCUGAGGCGCGAAAGCGUGGGGAGCAAACAGGAUUAGAAACCCGAGUAGUCC
rnacentral:rRNA from 1 species